rnacentral:lncRNA from 1 species
AUGCCUAAGUUGCCCCCUCCGACAAACUUUUCCUUCGAUAGGCCAGGAGAGUGGCCGGAGUGGAAGCAGCGUUUUGUGGGAUUCAGAAUCGCAACCAAGCUGGACAAGGAAGAUGGUGCUGUGCAGGUUAGCAGUCUGAUAUACGCUAUGGGAAGCGAGUCGGAGAACAUCUUCCGUUCGUUUAACUUCGACAAUAAUGCACAUAGAGAUGAUUAUGAGAGGGUGCUUGGAAAGUUCGAUGAUUACUUUGUGCCAAGAAGGAAUGUAAUACACCAACGUGCAUGUUUCCAUCUGCGCGUGCAAAGACCAGGAGAAAAAGCUGAAACUUUUAUCAGGGCUUUGUAUGAACUGGCAGAACAUUGCGAAUUUGGCGGGUACAGAGAUGAGAAUAUCCGCGACCGAAUCGUAGUUGGAAUACUCGACAAAGAUGUCUCACGGAAAUUGCAGCUGACAAAGGACUUAACACUAGCGCUGACUAUAGAGACAGUCAGGCAGUCGGAAGAAGUUGCUUCUCAAGUCAGCAUGCAAGGAGAGACAACGGGGGUGAUACAAGAAGUCACUCACGAGCGCAGCAAAUACCCCAAUCACUACGGUAAGCCAAAAGGGGGAAAUAAAGGGCAAUGUGGAUUGUGUGGGAAAGCGUGGCACAGUAAAGAUGAAAAUUGCCCGGCUCGUAAUUCCACAUGCAAUACAUGUAACAAAGUUGGACAUUGGAGUAGAGUGUGUAGGCGCAGGCAGGCAGUGAGUGAGGUUACAGAGCAAACGGAGCAGCAGUCACACUUUCUUGGGGCUGUGAGUAAAGCAGACGGGUCGCCAGAGCAAUGGGCCGUCGAGUUACUGGUGGGCUCUACACCAGUUGACUUCAAAAUGGACACAGGGGCCGAUGUUAACGUCAUCUGCGAGGAAACCUACCACUCACUCAUGCCCAAAAGAGCACUGCAGCCUGCAGAGAUGCCACUGGACAGCCCAGGGGGCGAGCUGCAGUGCAUAGGACAGUUCCAGAGAACUGUGACCUACAAAGGAAAGACUCACCCACUCACAGCAUAUGUCAUCCGCGGACGUACGGUCAACAACCUACUCAGCAGGCCGCUGUCUGUGAAAAUGGAUCUAGUGAGGAGAGUGAAUGAAACGGUGUGCAACAGAGGACAUCCACAGGCAUAUGGCACGCAUGGGACUUUAAAGACUGAACCAGUGAAUACUGCUGAAAGACAAUGCUCAGCCAUAUGCUGUAUACACAGCACGACGCGUGCCUCUCCCUAUGCUGCAAAAGGUAAAGGAGGAGCUCAAGAGGAUGGAGGGAAAUGGCAUCAUCGAGAGGGUGACACAGCCCACGGACUGGUGUGCACCCAUGGUGCCAGUCUUGAAGAGCACAGGUAA